rnacentral:tRNA from 1 species
GCGGGUAUCGUAUAAUGGCAUUACCUUAGCUUUCCAAGCUAAUGACAGGGGUCCGAUUCCCCUUACCCGCU